rnacentral:misc_RNA from 1 species
ACACCUCAACUCUUCAUGGUUUUCCUUGAUGAGCUUGGACUUUGGGGGUUUUGCUGGCCUGUGGUCGGCUCCCCUCAAAUAAAUCAGCUUGCCAGUGUUUGGUGGCAUCACAGGUGUGAUAACUAUCUACACUUGUGGUUUUCCACCAAGUAACCUUCAAUGGUGGGGGUUCACUGGAGCUCACAAACGUCCCUCAUCAGUGGGGGACAGCCCAUUUGAAC